rnacentral:rRNA from 1 species
GCCUACGGGUGGCAGCAGUGGGGAAUUUUGCGCAAUGGGCGAAAGCCUGACGCAGCAACGCCGCGUGCGGGAUGAAGGCCUUCGGGUUGUAAACCGCUUUCAGCAGGGAUGAAACUGACAGUACCUGCAGAAGAAGCCCCGGCUAACUACGUGCCAGCAGCCGCGGUAAUACGUAGGGGGCAAGCGUUAUCCGGAUUUAUUGGGCGUAAAGCGCGCGUAGGCGGCUUGUUAAGCGAGAUGUGAAAACCGGGGGCUUAACCCGCGGCCUGCAUCUCGAACUGGCAGGCUUGAGUCUGGUAGAGGAAAGUGGAAUUCCCAGUGUAGCGGUGAAAUGCGCAGAUAUUGGGAGGAACACCAGUGGCGAAGGCGGCUUUCUGGGCCACGACUGACGCUGAGGCGCGAAAGCUAGGGGAGCGAACAGGAUUAGAUACCCCAGUAGUCCU